rnacentral:hammerhead_ribozyme from 1 species
AUCCAGCUGACGAGUCCCGAAUAGGACGAAACGCGCGUCAAGCUGGGU